UCGGGAAUUUUGGGCAAUGGGCGAAAGCCUGACCCAGCAACGCCGCGUGAGGGAUGAAGUAUUUCGGUAUGUAAACCUCGAAAGAAUGGGAAGAAUAAAUGACGGUACCAUUUAUGAGCUCCGGCUAACUACGUGCCAGCAGCCGCGGUAAUACGUAGGGAGCAAGCGUUGUUCGGAUUUACUGGGCGUAAAGGGCGCGUAGGCGGCGCGGUAAGUCACUUGUGAAAUCUCUGAGCUUAACUCAGAACGGCCAAGUGAUACUGCUGUGCUAGAGUGCGGAAGAGGCAACCGGAAUUCUUGGUGUAGCGGUGAAAUGCGUAGAUAUCAAGAGGAACACCUGAGGCGAAGGCGGGUUGCUGGGCCGACACUGACGCUGAUGCGCGAAAGCCAGGGGAGCAAACG
rnacentral:rRNA from 1 species